ACGAGGUUAUUAAAGCCUCACCUUUUAAAACCAAGUUCGAACGAGGCACAAUGACACCUCAAUGUAAGGAUCUUGAUCGAAUAAUUGAGCAAAACAAUUAUACAAAUCAAGUUCUUCACACCAUUUCCCAGCAGAUUGAAGAAACCAAGAGUUCUCCUCUCUCUGCACCCCUACCAGUCAAGAGCACUCCAAGCUCUAAACCUCUUUCAAAUCCUAUCUUUAAACUCCCAGAGUUUCACAAAGAUAANNNNNN
rnacentral:lncRNA from 1 species